rnacentral:rRNA from 1 species
UGCAAGUCGAACGAUGAUCCCAGCUUGCUGGGGGAUUAGUGGCGAACGGGUGAGUAACACGUGAGUAACCUGCCCUUGACUCUGGGAUAAGCCUGGGAAACUGGGUCUAAUACCGGAUACGACCAUCUGGCGCAUGUCAUGGUGGUGGAAAGCUUUUGUGGUUUUGGAUGGACUCGCGGCCUAUCAGCUUGUUGGUGGGGUAAUGGCCUACCAAGGCGACGACGGGUAGCCGGCCUGAGAGGGUGACCGGCCACACUGGGACUGAGACACGGCCCAGACUCCUACGGGAGGCAGCAGUGGGGAAUAUUGCACAAUGGGCGCAAGCCUGAUGCAGCGACGCCGCGUGAGGGAUGACGGCCUUCGGGUUGUAAACCUCUUUCAGUAGGGAAGAAGCGAAAGUGACGGUACCUGCAGAAGAAGCGCCGGCUAACUACGUGCCAGCAGCCGCGGUAAUACGUAGGGCGCAAGCGUUAUCCGGAAUUAUUGGGCGUAAAGAGCUCGUAGGCGGUUUGUCGCGUCUGCUGUGAAAGACCGGGGCUCAACUCCGGUUCUGCAGUGGGUACGGGCAGACUAGAGUGCAGUAGGGGAGACUGGAAUUCCUGGUGUAGCGGUGAAAUGCGCAGAUAUCAGGAGGAACACCGAUGGCGAAGGCAGGUCUCUGGGCUGUAACUGACGCUGAGGAGCGAAAGCAUGGGGAGCGAACAGGAUUAGAUACCCUGGUAGUCCAUGCCGUAAACGUUGGGCACUAGGUGUGGGGGACAUUCCACGUUUUCCGCGCCGUAGCUAACGCAUUAAGUGCCCCGCCUGGGGAGUACGGCCGCAAGGCUAAAACUCAAAGGAAUUGACGGGGGCCCGCACAAGCGGCGGAGCAUGCGGAUUAAUUCGAUGCAACGCGAAGAACCUUACCAAGGCUUGACAUGAACCGGAAAGACCUGGAAACAGGUGCCCCGCUUGCGGUCGGUUUACAGGUGG